GUGAAGAAAACCCAGCUUCCCAAAGAUAAGCAGCUGGAAAUGGGAGAGGCAUUUGAAGAGUCUCUUCAGUGACUACCUGUUUGAAAAGCCUUCAGAUUCCUGACUCCUUAAUUCAGCCAACAUUUCAUGGGCCCCUCUAUGCGGGGCACUCACUUUGUGGCCCCUGCCCUCAAGGAGCUAGGAAGCCAGCUCACACGUAAGAAGAAUUUACGAAAGAUACUCAGCAAAACCAAAACAAGAGCCCAUGACAGCAGGUGCUUCAGGGAAAACACAGACACUGGAAUAGAACCGAAUUCAGACUGAACCAACACUUACGGAACACAUUACGUAUCCAGCACAUCCCGUUGUUACUGGACCUUCAUGACAACUCCUUGUGGUGAGAUCGAUGGUGCAGGG